UAGGGAAUCUUCCGCAAUGGACGAAAGUCUGACGGAGCAACGCCGCGUGAGUGAUGAAGGUUUUCGGAUCGUAAAGCUCUGUUGUUAGGGAAGAACAAGUGCAAGAGUAACUGCUUGCACCUUGACGGUACCUAACCAGAAAGCCACGGCUAACUACGUGCCAGCAGCCGCGGUAAUACGUAGGUGGCAAGCGUUGUCCGGAAUUAUUGGGCGUAAAGGGCUCGCAGGCGGUUUCUUAAGUCUGAUGUGAAAGCCCCCGGCUCAACCGGGGAGGGUCAUUGGAAACUGGGAAACUUGAGUGCAGAAGAGGAGAGUGGAAUUCCACGUGUAGCGGUGAAAUGCGUAGAGAUGUGGAGGAACACCAGUGGCGAAGGCGACUCUCUGGUCUGUAACUGACGCUGAGGAGCGAAAGCGUGGGGAGCGAACAGGAUUAGAUACCCUGGUAGUCCACGCCGUAAACGAUGAGUGCUAAGUGUUAGGGGGUUUCCGCCCCUUAGUGCUGCAGCUAACGCAUUAAGCACUCCGCCUGGGGAGUACGGUCGCAAGACUGAA
rnacentral:rRNA from 1 species